rnacentral:tRNA from 1 species
CAGAAAGUAAUUUAAUAAAAAUAUUAAUUUUGGAGAUUAAAUUUAGGAUGAAUUUCUUUUUUCUGA